GUAGGUGGCAAGCGUUGUCCGGAAUUAUUGGGCGGAAAGCGCGCGCAGGCGGUUCUUUAAGUCUGAUGUGAAAGCCCACGGCUCAACCGUGGAGGGUCAUUGGAAACUGGAGAACUUGAGUACAGAAGAGGAAAGCGGAAUUCCACGUGUAGCGGUGAAAUGCGUAGAGAUGUGGAGGAACACCAGUGGCGAAGGCGGCUUUCUGGUCUGUAACUGACGCUGAGGCGCGAAAGCGUGGGGGAGCAAACAGGAUUAGAUACCCUGGUAGUCCACGCCGUAAACGAUGAGUGCUAAGUGUUAGGGGGUUUUCCCGCCCCUUAGUGCUGCAGCUAACGCAUUAAGCACUCCGCCUGGGAGUACGGCCGCAAGGCUG
rnacentral:rRNA from 1 species